AGUUCUAUUUGCACCUUCGUGCAGCAAGGGCUCAUGAAAUGAGCAGAAAUUGGUGUUCAAGUGUAUAAUUUAAUUAGCAUUUACGGAUUAUUACUGAAAGAUUUGCAAUAAAAUGUUCUGGGAGAAAUCCUGAGGCUCGAUCUUCAAAUGGAAGAUAUUUGUGCGAAUGAUGGAUAACUUUGAACUCCGCUUCUUGCCAAUUGUGCACAAUAUAAUGGUCGGCAAUACGAUGGCAGGUAGCUGUCGUUGAAGUUCCGGUGGUCUGAAAUGUCCCGGAUCAGAGCAAGACAAAUGUACAUCUGGCGGAUCCGGACAUUCCUGUUGAUGCCGCGUCGCCUUCUUGAUUUUACAAUUUCUGUCAAGAAAGAAAAAUGCACUGAAUAAAAGAAAUCAUCGCAAUUUCAUAAUUUGCGCGUUUACAAACGCUUGAUUAAUAAAACACAUGCUUUACGAGCUGUUCCAGUGCAUCUUCUGGUAACCGUAUUUUUUUUUUCAUUAAAAAGUUC
rnacentral:sRNA from 1 species